rnacentral:lncRNA from 1 species
UCCUUGUAAAUCUACGCAUCAUGCUGAGGGUGGGAUGGUGGCCAUAAAUGAAAUUUGUAAUUGACUUUGCCUUCUUCACUGCACCUGAUAUCUCGGUUAAACCGCCAAGAGCCUCAAGCAUGACGUCUAGAUAAUGUGCUGCACAUAUUGUCUAAAAGAUUUUAGGAUAAGCUAUGCGCAACAAAUUAGCUGCAACAACAUUAGGAGCAACAUUGUCUUGACAACCUGUACAACAUGAUGCUCCCCAACCUCCUUCAUUCCCUUCUCUAAAACUUGGAAUAUGUAAUGAGCAUCAUGGAUAUGAUCAGAGGCAUCAAUAGACCUCAAAAAAACAGUCCCUAAAGGACAAUUCAUAAGCAAAUUCAUCUGACUUCUUCUCUUCUUAUCACUCCAAGCAUCAGUCAUAAUAGAUACCCCAUAUUGAGCCCAUGCAUCUUUCUUAACUUCUACAGCUUCCUUCGUGACAGUCACCGCCUUUUUCAAAAGAAGCUCUGAAAGCUGGGGUUGGGGGUUUCAUCCCAGGCCCAAAUUGGCCAAUUGUCUCUACCGCGGCAUAGAAGUUGCUUAAGCGAGCGGUAUUGAAAGCAAUGCUCGCCUCAUAAAAUCAUGUAGCAAGAUAAUAAGUAGCUCUCUCUCACUCUUCCUUUGUCAUUCUAUUUUCAAUG